rnacentral:tRNA from 1 species
CUCCGGUACAGGGAAUCGAACCCUGGGCUCCGCGGUACUGAAGUUCUCUCAGGUUAUGAGAGCGCGAAAUGUUAGCCACUACACCAUACCGGA